rnacentral:pre_miRNA from 1 species
ACAACAUUCGGACCGUCGUCUACCUAGCUAUAUCACUCGCUCGUUGGAAGAUCUUCCCUUCACCUU